CUAGAUGUAGAUGUACAUUUAUCCUGUCUGUCAACUCAAACUGGAAAUGUUUUUAGCGCCUAACAUGCUGACCAGAUCGGACACGUCGCGUGCGGGAGCGUCGCAAAAUAAAUUUAGAAAUCCAUGUUAUUCAAUUAUUGCACCCACACUGCUCGUGCACGCCAACGAGGGUCUGCGAUGCCAAGGGCUAAAAUAGAACUCCUUUCUAUUUCUGACGCAGAUCGCGCUGAAAGUCCUGCCUCUUCCAUCUCCUCAUUGGUUUAUAGAAGCAGGUACCCACGUGCCAUCUCCUCAUUGGUUAUACCCACGUGGGUGAUUGAAAGACAAACUGUUUUGCCGGUCGUCGUGGUAAUACUAUGAAAGUUUAGAUGCGAUCACCAUAUAAGUUCCAAGAUGAAAAAGCCUGGAAGGAGGAGAGAUGACUAGAAACGAUUUGGUUGGCCGUUUUAUGUGUGGAUUAAUUGUCGGAGUAGAGGACCUUGUGCAUUUCAGCCGUGACAGAAUCACCCACCACCAAAGGACCAAGCAGCGUGUGAUGGAUCAGCAGGAGAAAUGGAGUUGGGAAGAAAUCCUGGAUGGGAAAGGACCCUGGAGGCAGGCUGGGGAGUAUCGCCGACCGAAGGAGGAACUUGAGGCAGCGAAGGCAGAGCGGCGAUACUGAGGCGCUAUAUCCACCCAGAGGCAAGUGCGAGAGGCAGCCCCAAAACAUUUUUUGGGGGGGCACACGGGGAGUUGGGCACAGUCAGGGUGGAGUCCUGAGCCAACUUCCCGUGCUUACUGUGGGGAGCAAGUGAUGCGCACUGUGUCGUCAGGGUGUAUUCAAAGGCCGGUGCGAUCUGUGCCCGCACCCUGUAGUUGUCGAGUUGAGGUGAGCAUCCAGCCAGGGCGGGUUGUGCAAGCCAUACGCUCCAGACCUCCAGUGCGCGUCUGUGGCCCAGUACAUCCUGUGCCUGCUCCUCGCACUUUCCCUCCAGUGCGCCUCCAUAGUCCAGUACAUCCUGUGCCUGCUCCUCGCACUCUCCUUUCAGUGCGCAUCCAUAACCCGGUACAGCCAGUGCCUGCUGUGAGCACUCGGCCCUUAGUGCGUCUCCCCAGUCCGGUGAGACCGAUUUCUGCUCCUCGCACUCUCCCUCCAGUGCGCCUCCAUAGCCCAGUACGUCCUGUGCCUGCUCCCCG
rnacentral:lncRNA from 1 species